rnacentral:rRNA from 1 species
UACGUAGGGGGCAAGCGUUGUUCGGAAUUACUGGGCGUAAAGGGCGCGUAGGCGGCACGGCAAGUCAGGAGUGAGAGCCCUGGGCUCAACCCGGGAACUGCUUUUGAAACUGCCGAGCUAGAGUGCGGAAGGGGCAACUGGAAUUCCCAGUGUAGCGGUGAAAUGCGUAGAUAUUGGGAAGAACACCUGAGGCGAAGGCGGGUUGCUGGGCCGACACUGACGCUGAGGCGCGAAAGCCAGGGGAGCGAACGGG